rnacentral:rRNA from 1 species
AAUUUGGCAGAGAUGCCUUAGUGCCUUCGGGAACCGUGAGACAGGUGCUGCAUGGCUGUCGUCAGCUCGUGUUGUGAAAUGUUGGGUUAAGUCCCGCAACGAGCGCAACCCUUAUCCUUUGUUGCCAGCGAUUCGGUCGGGAACUCAAAGGAGACUGCCGGUGAUAAACCGGAGGAAGGUGGGAUGACGUCAAGUCAUCAUGGCCCUUACGGCCAGGGCUACACACGUGCUACAAUGGCGCAUACAAAGAGAAGCGACCUCGCGAGAGCAAGCGGACUCAUAAAGUGCGUCGUAGUCCGGAUUGGAGUCUGCAACUCGACUCCAUGAAGUCGGAAUCGCUAGUAAUCGUAGAUCAGAAUGCUACGGUGAAUACGUUCCCGGGCCUUGUACACACCGCCCGUCACACCAUGGGAGUGGGUUGCAAAAGAAGUAGGUAGCUUAACCUUCGGGAGGGCGCUUACCACUUUGUGAUUCAUGACUGGGGUGAAGUCGUAACAAGGUAAGCGUAGCGAG